UAACGGCGAGUGAACCGGGAAGAGCUCAAAUUUGAAAUCUGGCGUCCUUCGGGCGUCCGAGUUGUAAUCUAUAGAAACGUUUUCCGUGCCGGACCGUGUCCAAGUCCCUUGGAACAGGGUAUCAGAGAGGGUGACAAUCCCGUACUUGACACGACGACCGGUGCUCUGUGAUACGUUCUCUACGAGUCGAGUUGUUUGGGAAUGCAGCUCAAAAUGGGUGGUAAACUCCAUCUAAAGCUAAAUAUUGGUGGGAGACCGAUAGCGAACAAGUACCGUGAGGGAAAGAUGAAAAGCACUUUGGAAAGAGAGUUAAACAGUAUGUGAAAUUGUUGAAAGGGAAACGAUUGAAGUCAGUCGUGACCGUUGGGUUCAGCCGGUUCUGCCGGUCUACUCCCUUCGGUCGGGUCAACAUCGGUUUUGACCGGCGGAUAAGGAAGGGAGGAAUGUGGCACCCUCCGGGGUGUGUUAUAGCCUCUCGUCGCAUACGUCGGUCGAGACCGAGGAACGCAGCUCGCCUUUAUGGCCGGGGUUCGCCCACGUCCGAGCUUAGGAUGUUGACAUAAUGGCUUUAAACGACCCGUCUUGAAACACG
rnacentral:rRNA from 1 species